rnacentral:lncRNA from 1 species
UUGUGGAGUUAGUUUGAAUCCAAGACAUGUUAUUAAUCAGAUGGAGCUUCAGUAUGAGUUGAAGAGAGUUUCAUUUGAAAAGAGGAGCAAGACCCUUGGAUGGACAAAGAGGGUUUCAAGGAUAAGCUUAAACCCUUAACUCACGUGAUCUCUCUCUCUCCGUUACGUAUGAGUUCGUACGUUUGCAGGCUUGUCUCAGAUAAGACAAAGAAAGCAUGCUGGCUAGUUACUGCUUUGCGUGAAGGGUUAAAGGAGCAGGAGACAAAAGGAACCAAAGCUUAACUCAAGUUAUGGUAGCAAGGGUUAGCUCUAACUAUGGUUAGUUGUUGCUUUAGGUUAAGGCUCCAGCAGUAUAAAAGUAAAGAGAACAGGUCAGAGUUGAGUGUGCCGCUGAAGAAGAGCACCAAAGGGUGCGAAAGCACCAGGAGCUUUAGAGUGUAUAAACACCUAGGCUGAGAGUACUACAAGCACAUAAUUGCUUGGUAGUAGAGAAACUAGAGAGAGGGGAAACAGGGGUUUGAGAGAUAGCUUUGUAUUCACAUGAGAGGGUGAGAGACAAAGCUUGUAACCUCUUUAUCUAGUGGAUUGGUAGCUUGCCUACCCCCUGAGAUGUAGGUACCUCGAAUGAGGCCGAACUCAGGGUAAACAACUAAAGUGUGCUCCCUUUUACAUACCUGUCUUGCAUCAUAUCUCUUAUCAUCAUCAACUUCAUGCUACUGAGUUUUGCAUUCCAAACUAUCUAAGUGCAUAAGUGCUUGAACAAAUGGUAACUUGAUGUCUGUGUAGAGGCAUAGAUCUCAACAGAUUGGUAUCAGAGCCAGGUUGGCAAAGAAAGAAGUCAAGUUUGGUCGUAAAGGUUCAAGCUUUAUGUAAAGGUGGAAGCUUUCGGAAGAUGCAGCAGAGAUUUGUGAGAAAGUUGUAAGCUUUGUAAGAAGGUGAAAGCUUUACCUCAAGAUAUCUCUGGAAGAGUAUGGCUUUGAGAAGCUUUUGAGACCAGAAGGCGGAAGCGAAGUGGUUCUCGUCGGAGAUGGUGAAAUCAUUUGAAAGUAUAAACUCUCUGUGGAUUUCACAAGUGGGAAAGAUGAGUCAGAGGUGGAGAUGUUGCAGCAUCAGUGGCUAUCUCAGGUUGACUCGGAUGACACAGACUCGACGACAAAGUACUCGCCGGAAGUUGCAGAGAAUCUCACCAGAAGUACGUCUACGUAUUGUCUUCACUGUUGGGUGAAAGACGAAGGAGGGUGACGUCUUGCUGAGGUUUCUCAAGUGGCAAGAUUCAAGUGCUGAGACAGUUGUCAGGUUCACCGGAAUGUAUAACGGUAAUGGUGGUCGAGGAAGGUGAAGCCGUGGUCAUCAUCGACAAAGGCAGCAGAGAAGGUUUUGGGUUUCAGUUCCAGAUGGGUUGUAUUGUUUAUUUGGGCCUGAAGUUUCAGAAGCAACAAGUUGGGCCAAGAUAUGUCCUAGCCCAAGUCAAAGUAAAGUUCUUUCUUUUCUGGUUUUCCUCGGUGAAGAAGAAGAUACAGAAAAUUCAGAACGGUUCGGUGGGAGCUUCGUAGCUCAGAUUUCAGAUGUUACGGGAAGAAAGUGACGAAGGUUCUAAGUGUGGAGAUGAGUUGUUUUCUAGCAACAGUCAACAGAAGAAGAGAAAUCUGAGAUCGGAGGUGACUUACUCGAUUUGUUGGUUUUUUUUUCUAAAUUUGAGUCGGGGUCAGACACAAGUUGGGGUUCUCAGUGGAUAAAACAGCUUCGAAGAUGGUUGAAAGUUUCUGCAACAUGGAAAAGAUGGAGUUUGUGAGAAGAUUGAAGAAACAAAAUCAUUCUUAUUCAGUGAUUACGUGAAUUGCAGUGGAGGUUACAUAUCUGGUGUGGAGGUUUCUCAGUAUUAUCAGCAAAGGGAUGUGCCAUAUCAGUGUGUCGAAAGUCUUUCUGAUAUUGAGUGUUAGACGGCGUGUCUUGUUUGUUCAAACUGAUGGUUUUGUCCAAACGACGGUACACAUUUGGUAUAUGUCGGUAUUGCUGAAGAAGAGGUCAGAAGUUCUUUUGAUUUCAGGUCUGAGGUGGAGAUUGAUGAAGAAAAAAAAAAAAUCAGUCUUAAGGUUUUCUGCAAUCAGAGUGCAAGACUCCAAGUCAAAUAAAAAGAAGAUCACUGAAGGAUAGGAUGGUUUGUGGUGUUUCUUCAAGUACAUCAAACCAGUUGUUGUGGAUACGAGAUUUGGAGAUUUGUAUCUAAGUGAGUGAAGCUAAGGUUUAUUAACUGCAAGCAAAGAAGUGUUGUUUAUCUUCUAGUACAAGAGAUAAACUGGAGUGGCUACAAGAUGAAGAAUGGUAUGUUGGGACUGAUAUCCAGUACAACAUGGAAGCUAUUCAGUCAGCCUAUUACAUGAGGGUUUUAUGCUGAUCACAGUAAUGGUGAAUGGAUGUUCAGCUCAGUGAAGUUCGCAGAGACAUGGUGGAGUGUUUCAGUCUUGUUUAGAAGAUGUCUGGGUUGCUUCAGAGAUGUCAGUUGGUUAAGUUCUGCAAUCUGGUUUCUUCAAGAGUAUGAGCAGAAAGGAAGUUGUUUACUGUGAAGUUGAGGCUCGUGGGUAUUAAUUGUCUUGAGAAGACGGAUGGAACUCAAGCUCAGAUUAGAGUGAAACGUCCGGGAAUGGUUUGGUCUCAUUCGAUGACCAAAAAGUAUGAGCUUGUUCAAGAGAGCUCAAGUUGAAAGUUUCUGAAUGUUCAGAGAGACCAGCUUGGUGUGGGGGAGUAUCAGAAUGGUUAUAUGGAUUUUUCCUGAAGAGGUUGCAGUCUCAAGAACAAGUGAUGGCUGUAUAUUCAAAGCUAAAUCAGUUUUCAGUUUGAGAAAGUCAUAAGACGGGUUCUCAGGUUCUGUAGAGGAAGCUUUGUGAAUAUUCAAUCCUUAAAAGAAGAGUUGCAGGUUCUGAUAUUUUUUCAGAAAGACACAAAAGUGUGAGCUUAGUAAAGAGUAUUGAAGUGGUUCAGGGUAUCCCAUAGUGGAGAGUCUGGAGGAAACAAAUGCAGAGAAUGCAAGGAGGUUUCCAAGGUUAUUCACUUCAAGACAGUUGAUUUGUGGUGCAUCGAUAUGCUACACAAGCUAAGAUUGCAAGCAACUGAGGAAGAAGAAGUCCCAUAAAGGACAAGAAAUGCAGAAAAGGCAAGCUGCAUUUGGAGAAGAUUAAUCAGCGUAAACUGAUUGUGUCUAGUACAUCAUAAGAAGGCUUUAUGAAUCAUCUCAGAGAUCACUUACAGAACAGUCAAGUGAUGAACUCAGAAGCAUCAGAGGCACAGUUACAAGUGAAGCUGAUUGUUUAUAGAGAGAUUCAAGUCAAGUCUGCAUUUGGUAAAAGGUGCAGAAGGCAAGUUUUAUGGUGGAGUCUGCAUAGUGGAAAAUAUACUGCAGGGUACUGUUACAGCUCAAGUGUCAUCAUGGGUUCUAGAUGUGAUGAAGAAGUGGCUGUAAGGAGAUGUCUCAGGAUAUCACAGUAGCUGAUAUGAGACAGAGUAUAAGAGUGCUAGUAGGGGUUUCAAAGCUGCUAGUGGUUUCUGUUUUUUUUAAACAGGAUGAUUGAACAAGUAGAAUGUUCAAGAGGUGAAUCAAGAGCUCCAGAAGAGGCUAAUAUGAUUCUGCAUAUUUUUUCUGCAUUGAUUCAAGAGGUUUUGAUUCAAGCUUCAGUGCACAUGAGGAGAAUCAAAGGUCGACAAGGGAAUCAAGUUUGCAGGAGGACAAAGAAAAUAAGCAAUCAUUGUAACAGGCUUAUGGUUUCUUGAUCUGAGCCGUGGAAGAAGUCUGUGUGAUUGGAGAUUCCAUAAGUGGUGGAGCUUAUGAAGAAGUCUGUGACUGGAGAGGUCAUGAGUGGUGGAGCUUGUGAAGAACUCUGUUGUGUUAAAGCUGGUUUUGUGGCUUUAACAGAAGUGAAACAGGGAAGACUUUGUGGUUGGACGUUAGUGACGACUGGUUAAGAGAAACAGUUCGGUUUUCUCAAGCAAAGACAUGAGAGAAUGGUUCUUGAAAGGUUCAGGUGGGUUAUUCCAAGAGUAUACAGCUCAGGUGGAGUUACUUCUAAGGCUGGAAGAACAAGAGAAUUUCUUUAUCAUGGGGUUUACAAGGAAAUGGUUCAAGUUCAGUGUUGUGGGAAGCAUUUCAAAUCCAUGAAAGAAACCAGUUUGGCUUGGGAGUGUUCUGUGGUUGUUAUAGGAUGUCUUGUGGGUACUCAACUAAGAGAACGGAAGUUUGAAGUGAGUUACACGAAGACUGAAGAGAAGCAACUUGGAAGUUUUGUUUAUCAACAACAAGAAAGGGUGACAGCACAGAUACAAGGUUUGUGUUUCAGAUUGAGAUGAUCAAGUCAGAAGACUUAGCUAAUCUUCUUGUAUGAGAUCAUUGCAAGUAAGAACACAUAGCAGCAGAAAACAGAGACACAAGAGACAGUUAGUCUCUCAUGUGUAAAAGAAGCUGAAGUAUCAAGAAGGCUGAGAAUGGUUGUUGCAGAGACAGACGCAGGACAGUUCCAGAAGCAAGUAAUGAAGUAUACUGUGAGUCUAGGUGAAGACCAGAUGGUUAAAGAUCACAGUUGAUUCCAAGGGGGACACGAGUCAGUGUCAGCAGGAUACAACUUCAUAAGAAGUGUAACCGGAGAAGAUACAUCCAAGGAUGCAAGGUUGAGAACCAAGUUCUGGUUGGCAUUCAAACCAAGGUGGAGAUUUGUGGAGUUAGUUUGAAUCCAAGACAUGUUAUUAAUCAGAUGGAGCUUCAGUAUGAGUUGAAGAGAGUUUCAUUUGAAAAGAGGAGCAAGAGCCUUGGAUGGACAAAGAGGGUUUCAAGGAUAAGCUUAAACCCUUAACUCACGUGAUCUCUCUCUCUCCGUUACGUAUGAGUUCGUACGUUUGCAGGCUUGUCUCAGAUAAGACAAAGAAAGCAUGCUGGCUAGUUACUGCUUUGCGUGAAGGGUUAAAGGAGCAGGAGACAAAAGGAACCAAAGCUUAACUCAAGUUAUGGUAGCAAGGGUUAGCUCUACCUAUGGUUAGUUGUUGCUUUAGGUUAAGGCUCCAGCAGUAUAAAAGUAAAGAGAACAGGUCAGAGUUGAGUGUGCCGCUGAAGAAGAGCACCAAAGGGUGCGAAAGCACCAGGAGCUUUAGAGUGUAUAAACACCUAGGCUGAGAGUACUACAAGCACAUAAUUGCUUGGUAGUAGAGAAACUAGAGAGAGG